rnacentral:rRNA from 1 species
GACGAACGCUGGCGGCGUGCUUAAUACAUGCAAGUCGAACGAGGUUGAUCCAGUUGAAAGACUGGUGACUGCCUAGUGGCGAACGGGUGAGUAACACGUGAGCAACCUGCCCCGAAGACCGGGAUAACAGUGGGAAACCGCUGCUAAUACCGGAUGCCCCCACCGGGUUACAUGGCCUGGUGAGGAAAUGGAUUCCGCUUCGGGAGGGGCUCGCGGCCUAUCAGCUUGUUGGUGGGGUAACGGCCUACCAAGGCUUCGACGGGUAGCUGGUCUGAGA